GCGGUAUUCCGCCGCCGUCGGCCGUGCUGUGCGGACGUGCGGAGCGGCUGUAGCGGUGUUUACAUCGUCGCUGCGAGUGGCCGGCGUUGUGUGGUGAUAUUGAUGGCCUGCUGUAUGGUGAUGCUACGAUGGAGAUGAUAUUGGAGAUUAUUGCAGAAGAUCAUGUGGAUAUGAUUGAGCUAAGUCAGCCGCAGGCAUAUAACUUUCCACUGAAGAUGAGCCAGUGAAGGUUCUCUGACUAUUUCUCAGAAGCAAAGCAACCAGUCGUCGAAAUAUGCGAGCAGAUUGAUGUUCAUCAGUGGGAUCAUCAUCAUCAUCAUCCUCCUCAUCAUCAUCAUCUUCUUCAUCCAACAUGGAGUCAUUCUGGUAAAAUGAUAAAUUAUUCUCAGUGUAAGUAAUAAAUAUUUCUGUCAAACAUUUUUUGUUUAUGAAAUUAAUACCUGUAUAGAAUUAUAUAGUUCAAUAAAAUACGCUAGAAAUAAGUUAUGUUAGCAAUGUAUGACAAAAUCACUGAUUACUGAAGUUGGUUAUGAUGGACAAGAGUAGCCUUUAUGUGCCAGUACACUUAAUUUACUUGUUUGAGUGUGAGGUAGUCGGUAAACAUUGGAGAAUUUUUCGUGAAGAUUUUAGGAGAUAGCCUUUGUAAAAGAACUGUCUGAGAAGCCAAAUGUUUAGCUGAUGGAGACUAUAAAUAUUUAUUCUAAUAUGCU